GAGUAACACGUGGGUAACCUGCCCAUCAGAGGGGGAUAACACUUGGAAACAGGUGCUAAUACCGCAUAAUAGUCGACACCGCAUGGUGUUGAUUUGAAAGACGCUUUCGGGUGUCACUGAUGGAUGGACCCGCGGUGCAUUAGCUAGUUGGUGAGGUAACGGCUCACCAAGGCGAUGAUGCAUAGCCGACCUGAGAGGGUGAUCGGCCACGCUGGGACUGAGACACGGCCCAGACUCCUACGGGAGGCAGCAGUAGGGAAUCUUCGGCAAUGGACGAAAGUCUGACCGAGCAACGCCGCGUGAGUGAAGAAGGUUUUCGGAUCGUAAAACUCUGUUGUUAGAGAARAACAAGUAGGAGAGUAACUGCUCUUACCUUGACGGUAUCUAACCAGAAAGCCACGGCUAACUACGUGCCAGCAGCCGCGGUAAUACGUAGGUGGCAAGCGUUGUCCGGAUUUAUUGGGCGUAAAGCGAGCGCAGGCGGUUUCUUAAGUCUGAUGUGAAAGCCCCCGGCUCAACCGGGG
rnacentral:rRNA from 1 species